rnacentral:lncRNA from 1 species
UUUUGCUGUUCCAGAGAUACUUCAGGACUGGUGUGAAGGAAAGAUGGAAACAGCCUGCUGAAGGUCAAGGUGAGACUGACCCAUAGCCCACCUGAGGGCUGGUAUCCACCAGCAGAAAUGCAUGCCCACGGGUGCUGGGAGUCUCCUCAGCAAGAGAAACAGCAUUGCUGCAGGGAACGAACAACCAGCCCUGACCUUCUUUACACAGCCCUUCUCUGGGAAAAAGUAUCCUCUGACGUCAAUACGCAUUUUGCCUAGCAUUAACCAGAAGACAAACAUCUGGAUUGAAAUGACAGCAACAAACAAUAGGUGUCAGUGAUUCGUGCUCUCUCCACCUAAACCGGAGAUCUGGCACAUCAAUACUUAAAAGGCUUAGGAGAAGAAGAAAACAUCAAUAUGUCACUGAGCACACAAAGUUGCACAACUCCCCCUUCUCCAUUUUAAUGUCAGCUCUGGUUAGUUUUGGUUUUUCCAUAAGCUGAGUGACUUCAGCUUCUCUUUGAAGCCUACCUGUGUGAAUAGCUUGUUUUCCUCCAUGUCUAGCACUAACAAGGAGCUGUGAGGAGUUUGUUCAGGGUCAGCAGUCAGGCAGCUCCGAGGUGGCUGACUUUCUAGGAAAAGCCACAGCAGGAGUAAGUGCAAGCCAGCCUACACUCCAGGCAUCAUUUUUGCUGGUCUUUAACUUAUGCUCUGAUUCAUGCUCGAGUUAAACAAAUUGAAAUUAGCAACUCUAACAUAGACAAAAGAGAAGAAAAGCAAGCUGGGCACUUAGUCGUGGCACUGCUGUGCUUAGGAGUGAUGGCCUGACACCACCAGUUUUGUGGGCUACAGCAGCACUGCGCUCACUCGCGACAAUUUAGGACUUGCCCCGCUUGUGUUAGUCUGCAGCCUGAAGUUUCUGGUCUCGUCCUCUGUGCGAACUAGCUCAUGCAAAUGGAGGGACUGGAGGGAAGUCAGGCAGAUUUCCGCAUGAGUACCAGUGUGAGAAGGAGCAGCAAUUAGCUCCAAAUUCACUGCGUGGGCCUGUCACUUCUGAGUUCACCCCCUGCUGCUCUGUAACUGGAAGCCUUGCGCUCUAGAAGAAGGGAAGAAGAACAUUUUGCUCAUGCUCACAUUAAUCAAGUAGUCCUGUGAGCCGCUGAAUUUGUGAAGUCGUGUCUCCCGUGGUGUUCAAUAGUAAUGACUGUCUCCUGUGUGGACUCUCUGGUGUCUAGUAACACAGUUGUGCUUCCAUAGUGAAUGCACUCCUGGGGCCUUUCCCCUCUGCCUACUUCCACAGUGCUUGCAGGCACCUCAAACCUUUGAGACUUCCAUCCCCUGUCAAGGUUGAUCAAAAUCAGCUCACAGGCUCAAAAAUUAUUUAGGAGGGACUGGCUGGCACUUGCACAGACAGUGUGGUCUCAUAAGCUUCCUUUCCUUGGAAAACUAGGCUACCAACCUAGCAACGGGGGAAAAAAAUGCCAUCCUGCCAGCAAGGAGGGCCUAAACACCGGGAGGAAAGAGGGUAGGUGGGAGAGGACAGUGAAGCUGUUUUGAAAGGAAUAAUCACUGCCUUGUGGAUGCAGAGCUCUGGUACAUGCAAAGGGCCAGCCCCAGAGUGGCAAGCUGGAGAAAAUGUUCUCUAGGAGAUGGCAAGACCUCAUGUGGCUACUAGUAGGGAAGAGAAAUCACCUCACCACUAGGCAUCCUAAAUGUAUGUUUUAUAUGGUAACAGCUGUCCCUGGGUGUUGCCCAUUCCUGACUCGACGACAAUGCUGCACAACUAAUGUGCACCCCACUUGUCUGCUGUAUCUGAAGUAAGAUGGGGCCUAUCCCAAAGGCAGUGGUUCUCUUACUGCUCCCUCCUUCACACCAAAGUUUUCAACAGUGCUGCUGCUGGAUUUAACUGCUUCACAUACCAUGUCUGUAUUUUAAGAAAAGCUGCUGCAUGUGUCUUAAUAGCUGCAGAUGUAUGCAUUGUUUUACAGGGCAUUUAUAAGCACUUAUCCUCUGUGCACUAAUAACUUUCCUGUCCUUGUAUCUUUCAGAAUAAAAUCCUUUAAGUGAGCUUUAACA